ACUUUGGAUCCAGCUCUUCUCAGCUCUGCAGCAUCAGGCUCCCCAAAAGACCUUCAUGGCUCCCCCAAAGCACGGUGCUUCCUGACCCCUGAUACUUGGGGAGACAACACAGCCGCUCUCUCGAAUGCUGUGAGGAUAUGGGGUGGGGCAGGAUGUGUGGGGCCUUGGUCCUGCACCGCAGGCAGACUGGGGGUUCCAGAAGGGAGACGGAUGGGUGGGUAAGGGUUACAGGGCCCUCAACACUAAUAAAGAAUGGACUGGUUU
rnacentral:lncRNA from 1 species